UCAAGAAGCUGGAAGAAAGGAAAACAGACCCCCUAAGCCUGGAGGGAUACGUCAGCUCAGCGCCACUGACAAAGCCCCCCGAAAAGGGCAAAGCUUCUCCUACCAGUCCUGACAAAAAAGCCAAGCGGCAUGAAGUAAAGAGCGACCCGACUCCCUUUGGUGUGCGAGGUUGGAGCAAAACGUCCCACUCACUGGAGGCACCUGAGGACGACGGGGGCUGGUCAAGUGCAGAGGAGCAGAUUAACUCGUCCGACGCAGAGGAGGACGGCGGGUUGGGCCCCAAGAAGCUGGUUCCAGGUAAAUACACGGUCGUGGCGGACCACGAGAAGGGAGGCCCCGAUGCGCUGCGCGUGAGGAGCGGGGACGUGGUGGAGCUGGUGCAGGAGGGCGACGAGGGCCUCUGGUACGUCAGGGACCCGACCACUGGCAAGGAGGGCUGGGUGCCGGCCAGCAGCCUGUCCGUCCGGCUCGGCCCGUCCGGCUCGGCCCAGUGCCUGAGCAGCUCAGAGUCGAGCCCGGGGUCGGCCGUGCUGAGCAACUCGUCCAGCUGCAGCGAGGGCGGCCAG
rnacentral:lncRNA from 1 species